rnacentral:rRNA from 1 species
UACGUAGGGGCAAGCGUUGUCCGGAUUAUUGGGCGUAAAGCGCACGCAGGCGGUCUCUUAAGUUUCGAGUGACAGGUCAGGGCUUAACCCUGGCAGGCCUUGGAAACUGGGGACUUGAGGGCUUCAGAGGACGCGGAAUCCAGGUGGAGCGGAUGAAUGCGUAGAGAUCUGGAAGAACACCGAAGGCGAAGGCAGCGUUCUG